UACGUAGGGGGCAAGCGUUGUCCGGAAUCAUUGGGCGUAAAGCGCGUGUAGGCGGUUCGGUAAGUCGGCUGUGAAAGUCCAGGGCUCAACCCCGGGCCUGCAUUCGAUACGGGCAGACUAGAGUUCGGUAGGGGAGUCUGGAAUUCCUGGUGUAGCGGUGAAAUGCGCAGAUAUCAGGAGGAACACCGGUGGCGAAGGCGGGACUCUGGGCCGAUACUGACGCUGAGGAGCGAAAGCGUGGGGAGCGAACAGG
rnacentral:rRNA from 1 species